rnacentral:tRNA from 1 species
ACUUAAAUAGCUUAUAUAGAGCUUAGCAUUGAAGAUGCUAUGGAAAUUAUGAUUAAUUUUUAAGUA